CUUUAUGUUUGAAGCCUGAAAUGUGGCAAAAGGUCGCAAAGUUCAAGGGGGCCGAAUACUUUCGCAAGGCACUGUAUAUUUGGUACCGUCAUAGGAUGCCACCUUUCCAACAAGUCAGUUCGUCAAAUGUCUGCCCUGCUAGAGCUUCCCCUGUCAACUGUAAGUGCUGUUAUUGUGAAGUGGAAAUGUCUAGGAGCAACAACGGCUCAGCCGCGAAGUGGUAGGCCACAGAAGCUCACAGAACGGGAUUGCUGAUGCGCGUCUGUCCUCGGUUACAACACUCACUACCAAGUUCCAAACUGCCUCUGGAAGCAACGUCAGCACAACAACUGUUGGUCGGGAGCUUCAUGAAAUGUGUUUGGGAUGAAUUGGAACGCCGACUGCGCGCCAGGCUUGAUCGCCCAACAUCAGUGUCCGACCUCACUAAUGCUCUUGUUACUAAAUGGAAUCAAGUCCCCGCAGCGAUGUUCCAACAUCUAGUGGCAAGUCUUUCCGUAAGAGUGGAGGCUGUUAUAGCAGCAAAGGGGGGGACCAACUCCAUAUUAAUGACUUCCCAGAAGAGUGGAGGCUGUUAUAGCAGCAAAGGGGGGGACCAACUCCAUAUUAAUGACUUCCCAGAAGAGUGGAGGCUGUUAUAGCAGCAAAGGGGGACCAACUCCAUAUUAAUGGCUUCCCAGAAGAGUGGAGGCUGUUAUAGCAGCAAAGGGGGACCAACUCCAUAUUAAUGACUUCCCAGAAGAGUGGAGGCUGUUAUGGCAGCAAAGGGGGACCAACUCCAUAUUAAUGACUUCCCAGAAGAGUGGAGGCUGUUAUGGCAGCAAAGGGGGACCAACUCCAUAUUAAUGACUUCCCAGAAGAGUGGAGGCUGUUAUAGCAGCAAAGGGGGACCAACUCCAUAUUAAUGGCUUCCCAGAAGAGUGGAGGCUGUUAUAGCAGCAAAGGGGGACCAACUCCAUAUUAAUGACUUCCCAGAAGAGUGGAGGCUGUUAUAGCAGCAAAGGGGGACCAACUCCAUAUCAAUGGCUUCCCAGAAGAGUGGAGGCUGUUAUAGCAGCAAAGGGGGGGACCAACUCCAUAUUAAUGCCCAUCAUUUUGGAGUGAGGUGUCCACAUACUCUUGGUCAUGUAGUGUAUUUUUUCUUUUUGAGGGUCUUUUGGACCUUUUUAAACUAGAUAACUAUGAGGUUCAGAUAUAUAUUUGUGUAUAUGUUGAUGUGCAGAAGCAUGAGAGUUGCAUAGACCUACUGUAUCCAUUUAUUACCAAUCCCAGUUGCACAAACCCACCUCAGACCAAUGUUUUGCUUAAAGAAUUUGUGUUCUCUUUAUUCAAGAGCUAAUACGAUACACUAGUCAGUGCCUUUGCAAAGCCCACAAAGUAUAGAUUUGAAAAAAAUAACUGCCCUCUUACCUGAGGCAAAAUGUAUGCAAAAGUGAUGAUCAUAUAGUGGUAAACAAUGCUUCUGUCAACUAUAGCAUGCGUUUGUUACAUUCUCAACCUGAUUUUGCUAAAUAACUGCACACCUAUGUGUCCUGUCCUGCACUUUGAAGACUUCAGAAAACAUGCACAGGUGUCCUCUAACAAAUUCUACUUCUCUGCUCUUUACUUUGUGAGUGCUGAAAAUAAAUCAUGGAUGACACGUUGUA
ensembl:lncRNA